rnacentral:piRNA from 1 species
UGAUAGAUGUUCUCCUGAAGAAGAAUCACAAU